rfam:Bombyx mori DNA, contig: Bm_scaf53_contig27068, strain: p50T/Dazao, build 2, whole genome shotgun sequence.
UUAACUCUAAUUUGCAUGGAGUCAGAACGUUUGCCUACGUUUGCCGCUAGGGGCGCUGUUCCAACUGCAUACAAAUUUCAGUUA